AUUGAACGCUGGCGGCAGGCCUAAUACAUGCAAGUCGAGCGGAGCUGCGGACGGGCGAGUAAUGCCUAGGAAUCUGCCUGGCAGAGGGGGAUAACGUCCGGUAACGGGCGCUAAUCUCGUAUACUACCAGAUGAGCCUAGGUUGGAGUAGCUAGUUGGUGGGGUAAAGGCCUACCAAGGCGACGAUCCGUAACUGGUAUGAGAGGCUGAUCAGUCACACUGGAACUGAGACACGGUCCAGACUCCUACGGGAGGCAGCAGUGGGGAAUAUUGGACAAUGGGCGAAAGCCUGAUCCAGCCAUGCCGCGUGUGUGAAGAAGGUCUUCGGAUUGUAAAGCACUUUAAGUUGGGAGGCGUUACCAACAGAAUAAGCACCGGCUAACUUCGUGCCAGCAGCCGCGGUAAUAC
rnacentral:rRNA from 1 species